CCCGCCCAGACGCUGCCGCAAAGCCAGAAGCCUGAUCUCCACCAAGGGCUCCCUCCUUUUGCGGCAUCUGCGGAGUUCCAGAUAUGAAUAUGCAAUGAACUGAAUUCUUGGCUAAAGACUUCUGCACUCUUGGAGGAAUCAGAAAGCUCAUCACCGAGACUAUUUCUAAUUCUGCUCCUUUCUUUCUGUAUCUGCGCACAAUUCCAGUUACGGAAAAAAAGUAGGUGACAAUUAUCUUCAUAUGAAGUGAAGCCAUGUCUUCAAACCUCAAACAAUCAAAAUUCCUGAAGACAGCAAAAUUGCCAAAGGAAAUAAUUUCUUAGAUGGUCUCCUUUACAAUACCAGGCAUAGAAAGGGUGAAUAAUAAACUUGGCUAGCAGCAAAGUUUUGCAAGCACCUCAUUCAGCCGAGAUAGUAAGGGGGUUGGAAGAUGAAUAACCUUGGGAUCUAUUGACAAUGAAGAACUAUGCUCGACUUCUAGCAAAGCUGUCCCCAUCUCUGCAUGACGAAGAGCAGCCAGCACACACGCCAUUGUACAUGCAGCCUUCACAGUUGGAGUGACUCUCUCACUGAGUGAGAAGUAUUUCAGUAUCUCUCUGGGAGACAAAAAGAUUCCUGCACCUAUUAUAUUACCUAAUAAAAGCCCUUCUUCCUGGA